UCCGGACAUAUCAAGUUGAAACACCGGUUUCCGAAGUUAAGCAAACUCAUGCGUGGUCAGUACCAAGAUGGGUGACCGCUUGGAAAUACUAGGUACUGUAAG